GUCUACAGCCAUGCUACCUUGAACAAGUCCGAUCCUGUCUGAUCUUGGAAGCUAAGCAGAGUCGGGCCUGGUUAGUACUUGGAUGGGAAACCACCUAGGAAAACCAGAUACUGUAGGCA
rnacentral:rRNA from 1 species